rnacentral:misc_RNA from 1 species
GUUGGAGAAUGGGCAAAUACAGGGGCUGAAGCAAAUCGAAAACCUUCCGGCCAAAACGAGUUACUAAGGAUCGAGACACUCUAUCAUGCAGAUAAAGAAAAGACCGAAGCUUACAUUCUUGAACUGGUGGUAUGGCUUCACCAUCUAAUCAGCCAAGCUAGAGCUUGUAAUACUGGAAUAAGAUCUCCUGUUAAAUCCCCAAUUAGAUCCCCAAAUCAG